UAGGGAAUCUUCCACAAUGGACGCAAGUCUGAUGGAGCAACGCCGCGUGAGUGAAGAAGGGUUUCGGCUCGUAAAGCUCUGUUGGUAGUGAAGAAAGAUAGAGGUAGUAACUGGCCUUUAUUUGACGGUAAUUACUUAGAAAGUCACGGCUAACUACGUGCCAGCAGCCGCGGUAAUACGUAGGUCCCGAACGUUAUCCGGAUUUAUUGGGCGUAAAGCGAGCGCAGGCGGUUAGAUAAGUCUGAAGUUAAAGGCUGUGGCUUAACCAUAGUACGCUUUGGAAACUGUUUAACUUGAGUGCAGAAGGGGAGAGUGGAAUUCCAUGUGUAGCGGUGAAAUGCGUAGAUAUAUGGAGGAACACCGGUGGCGAAAGCGGCUCUCUGGUCUGUAACUGACGCUGAGGCUCGAAAGCGUGGGGAGCAAACAGGAUUAGAUACCCUGGUAGUCCACGCCGUAAACGAUGAGUGCUAGGUGUUGGGUCCUUUCCGGGACUCAGUGCCGCAGCUAACGCAUUAAGCACUCCGCCUGGGGAGUACGACCACAAGGUUG
rnacentral:rRNA from 1 species